UUUUUUGUUUUUUUUUGUUUUUUUUUUUUGCUUUUUAGGGCUGAACCUGUGGCAUAUGGAGACUCCCAGGCUAGGGGUCCAAUCGGAGCUACAGCUGCCAGCCUACGCCACAGCUACAGCAACGCUGAAUCCAAGCAGUAUCUGCGACCUACACCACAGCUCAUGGCCAAGCCAGAUCCUUAACCCACUGAGCAAGGCCAGGGAUCAAACCCUCAGCCUCAUGGUUCCUAGUCGGAUUUCUUUCCACUGCACCACAACAGGAACUCCCUGUUAAUUUUUUAAUGAGAUCUGUAAGUAUAACGUAAAGAUCCUAAUAUUGUUCCUUACCCUCUCCUUGGACCUCACAUCAGUGCUCAUGCUAUUUUAGGUCCUAAGACUUUGCAGCUUUAAAGUAACUUCUCCUUGCCUUUCUUUGGCUGUGACAGCAAUGGCCACCUCUUCACAGCUGAGACGAAGACCAAUUAUUUGCAUCUUGGUCUCUACUCUUUGCCUUUCAGGCCUUCGUCCUUUGCAGCACAUGAUAUAGAGAGAAGAAUGCAGCAAUGUUGUUGCUCUGUGAUGACAAUAAGUUGUUUCUAUUCUUCAAAGCAGUGUAAAUAGGGCAGCAAGUCUGUGCGUUUGCAAAACAGCAUCUCACAAAAGAAGCUUAAAUGCACCCAACUCCCAGUCUAUGCUCAGCAUAAAACACCUGCCAGCAGAAAACCAGGAGACUGCCACUCUAAAACUGGUCUCAGAUUUGCCUUUAUUUCUUAAACAUGCUAAAGGAUAUAACAGUUAAUGAUACAUUUUCCUGUUCAAAUAUCAAUAUUUCCUAAAAGCUCCAAACAAAAUCCUUUGGAAGAAACUAAUAUUUGGGGGAGAUGUCUUAGGUACCAGGUUUUCUACUAAGCAGUUUUCAUAUAUUACUUAUUUAACCUUCAAACAACCCUUUUAGGUGAGUACUAUCCCCAUUUUACAGAUGAUGAAACUAAGGUUAAAAAAUAUGAAGUGACUUGGCCAAGGUACCACAGAAUGUAAGUAGUGGGCGUAAGGUUUAUCCUAGCCCCAUCUUCACUGUACCAGCCCACCUUGCCUUCACAUGGCAUUCAGGCUCUAAACAGUAUAGCCCCAAACUGCCUCUCCAAUCUAGUACCAAUUUUUACAUCAUCUAUUUUGUUAUGUAUAUAGUUAGCCCUUAAUAUCCAUGGGUUCCACAUUCACAGAGUCAACCAAUUGCAGAUUGAAAAUAUUCAGAAACAAACAAUUCCAAAAAGUUCCAAAAAGCAAAACUUGAAUUUGCUUCAUUCUGGUACUAUUUACAUAAUAUUUACAUUUUAUAUAGUUAUUUACAUAGUAUUUAUACUAUAUUAGGUAUUUUAUGUAAUUGAGAGAUUAUUUAAAAUAUACAGGGGGAUGUACAUAGGUUAUAUGCAAAUACUACACCAUUUUAUAUAAGGGAUUUAAGCAGCCACAGAUUUUGAUAUCAGCAAGGGGUCUUGGAACCAAUCCCCCACAAAUAUUGAGGUAUGGCUAUAAAUCAAAGUUGUUUUUCCCACUCUAAUUUCAUUAUUUCAAAAAAAUCAUAGAAAAUCAACAAGCAGUAGUUGACAAAGCUGAAUAUGCACAUACUUUACAACUGUGAAAAAUUAAUAAAGGGAAAUCUCACUUAAAAUGAAGCAUUCCUGUCAUGGCUCAGCAGUAAUGAACCCAAUUAGUAUCCAUGAGGAGGCGGGUUUGAUCCCUGGCCUUGCUCAGUGGGUUAAGGAUCUGGCAUUGCUGCAGGCUGUGGUGUAGAUCACAGAUGUGGCUCAGAUCUGGUGUUGCCAUGGCUGUGGUGUAGGCCUGCAGCUGCAGCUCCAAUUCAACCCCUAGCCUGGUAAAUUCCAUAUGCCUCAGGUGCAGCCCUUAAAAAAAAAGCUCUUGCACAGCAAAGGAAACCAUUUUUAAAAAGAUGAAAAGACAACCCCCAGAAUGGGAGAAAAUCUCUGCAAACGAAGCAACCAACAAGGGAUUAAUCUCCAAAACACAUAAAUAUUCCAUGCAGCUUUAUAUCAAAAAACAUACAACCCAAUCAAAAAUGGGCAGAAGAUCUAAAUAGACAUUGCUCCAAAGAAGACAGACAGAUGGCCAAAAAACACAUGAAAAGAUGCUCCACAUCACAAAUUAUUACAGAAAUGCAAAUCAAAACUAUAGUGAGAUACCAUCUCACACCCACCAGAACGGCCAUCAUCAAAAACAAUAAAAGCAGGAGAGGGUGUGGAGAAAAAGGGAACCCUCCUACACCGUUGGUGUGAAUGUAAAUUGGUACAACCACUAUGGGGGACAGUAUAGACGGUCCUCAAAAAACUAAAAAUAGAACUACCAUAUGAUCCAGCAAUCCCACUCCCAGCAUAUAUCUGGAGAAAACUCAAAUUCAAAAAGGUACACACACCCCAAUGUUCACAGCUGCACUAUUUAUAAUAGCCAAAACAUGGUAGCAACCUAGGUGUCCACUGACAGAAGAACGGAUAAAAAAGAUAUGGUACAUAUAAGAGUUCCAUUCUAAAUGCUAAAGAUAAAGCAAUAAACAAAACUGACAGUUCCUGUCCUCUGGGGGCUUACAGUGAUUGAUAAAAUAUAAAAAGAGAAAAAUCAAUAAGCCACAGUCAUGUUCAAGAAUAAGAAAAGCAUCUCAGUAGACAAGGUACAGAUAUAUGUACUCAGUGGUGGCAGGAGGGCAGCCCCAGGCCUACUGAGGCUAGGGAUAGAGCCCAGAACUGGCAGCCAGGCGCUCAAUUCCUUUGGGGGAAAGAAGUCAUUCUCUCUGCAAGACUAUAGUCCCAAGCCAAACUCAAGGCCUGAGGACCUUCCUCUUAAAAAAGAAGCUGAAAAAGACAGCUGCCUACUGGGGCUAGGUGUCCUGACUUCACAAAUAGCUGGGGGCCUGGGGAGGUGAGCAACAGAGGACUCAAGCCAAGCUGGAUCCGAGAUUCCCAGAUAUGAUCACAGAAUAAGACCAGGAAAACAUCCUAAGAUGAUCUGUUUCUGGGCUGGGGGCAAGAGUGGGGGCAGGAGACAACAUGGAUGGAAACUAUAAAUCCAUAAAACCACUUGGCAGGCAGGAAAUAGAAAACACAGACAUAAAACUGUGUGUUUAUUCCUGACAACAUCAAAACAUAUACCAUGGAAAAUGAACAUAAGCAGGACCUCUAAACUCCCCCUAAAACGCUUUGCUUACGUAGAAGUAAAGUAGUAGUAUGCUAUACAAGGGAAGUUUAUACUUUGGUUUGUCAUCUACUGAGACUUUUUACUUCUGUUUCUAAAGUGUUCACUAAGUACUACAGGGGAAAAACAAGACUUAGGAGUCUGAAAGCAUCAAGAGAUGUCUGAUGGUCACAGCUACUUAUGAGUCUAUUCAGCAGGUUAGCAGCCACAGUACAGCCCUGGAGAGGACUGCGGGGCCAACUGGAAGUGAAGAUGGGUCUCCUCUUAUAAGGGAAGCUGCUGUAACUUUAAGGAAUGGAUAAAAAUUACCACAAAAUUGCAGAUACUCCUACAUGCAGAUUUGACUACUUUAAAACAAAAAUGAAAUAAGUGGUUUGCAUCAUUAAUAAGUGUUUCAUAACUUCAUUGCAAGUAAAGAAACAAUUUCCUAAUACGUGUCUCUUAAAUUUAGAAUGGAUAAGCAAUGAAGUACAGCAAGGGGAACUAUAUCCAACCUCUUGGGAUAGAACGUGAUAGAAUAUGAGAAAAAAAUGUGUAUAUAUAUAUAUAUAUAUAUAUACACACACACAUAUAAGUGUGUGUGUAUGACUGGGUCACUAUGCUGUGCAGCAGAAAUUGGCACAGCACUGUAAAUCAACUAUACUCUAAUAAAAAUAAAAUUUAAAAAAAUUCAAGUAUCAACUGAUCUCAUCAGGUUACCUUGGGUAACUUUUGCCUCAACUCUUAGUGAAGAAAAUUAGUAACCAGGAUCCAACUAUUUUAUUCUUUUUCUUUUAAGCAACUGAAGUAAAUGUCUAACUACAGUGUGACAAGAAACUGGCCUGGAGGUGAUAUUGAAAAGUCAAGAAGAGCAGAAGCUCUGAAGUCAGGCUGUGGAGAUCCUGGUCUUGACUGACUGCCACUAGCGGGUGUGAAAUGUUUGAGAAGCAACUUGGCUUCUCUUUGCCUCAGUUUCCUCAUGCACUCUCAUGCUAUAUUAGCUGUAAGAAACAACUGUAUUUAAACC
ensembl:lncRNA